GUGGGGAAUAUUGGACAAUGGGCGAAAGCCUGAUCCAGCCAUGCCGCGUGUGUGAAGAAGGUCUUCGGAUUGUAAAGCACUUUAAGUUGGGAGGAAGGGCAGUAAGUUAAUACCUUGCUGUUUUGACGUUACCAACAGAAUAAGCACCGACUAACUUCGUGCCAGCAGCCGCGGUAAUACGAAGGGUGCAAGCGUUAAUCGGAAUUACUGGGCGUAAAGCGCGCGUAGGUGGUUCAGCAAGUUGAAGGUGAAAUCCCCGGGCUCAACCUGGGAACUGCCUCCAAAACUACUGAGCUAGAGUACGGUAGAGGGUAGUGGAAUUUCCUGUGUAGCGGUGAAACGCGUAGAUAUAGGAAGGAACACCAGUGGCGAAGGCGACUACCUGGACUGAUACUGACACUGAGGUGCGAAAGCGUGGGGAGCAAACAGGAUUAGAAACCCCUGUAGUCC
rnacentral:rRNA from 1 species